UGCAGAAUCCCGUGAACCAUCGAGUCUUUGAACGCAAGUUGCGCCCGAGGGACCAUCCCGAGGGCACGCCUGCCUGGGCGUUAGAAGCCCAUCCACGCUCGGCGCACGUGCCUUGUAGGCCUGCCUGAUGCGGAGAAUGGCCCUCCGAGCCGCGAGGCGCGACGGGCACAAGUGCAUGGCCGUCGGUUGAGGCCGGGAGCGGCGAGUGGUGGGCUAACUGCGCACGCUGCCUCCGAACCUCAUGUCGACUUCAGGCCUAGUUGGACCUUGAAACGAGGAGUUUGUCGCCUAGUGCGGCAGAGCCUUCGGACCGAUACCCCAGGUCAGGCGUGGCCACCCGCUGAGUUUAAGCAUAUAAAUAAGCGGAGGAGAAGAAACUUACGAGGAUUCCCCUAGUAACGGCGAGCGAACCGGGAGCAGCCCAGCCUUAGAAUCGUGAUGGCUCUGCCGUCCGA
rnacentral:rRNA from 1 species